rnacentral:sRNA from 13 species
GCCAGGCAUGGUGGUGCAUGCCUGUAGUCCCAGCUACUCAGGAGGCUGAGGUGGGAGGAUCACUUGAGCCCAGGAGAUUGAGGCUGCAGUGAGCUAUGAUUAUGCCACUGCACUCCAGUCUGGAUGACAAAGUGAGACCUUAUCUCAA